rnacentral:rRNA from 1 species
UACGUAGGGGGCUAGCGUUAUCCGGAAUUAAUGGGCGUAAAGGGUGCGUAGGUGGUUUCUUAAGUCAGAGGUGAAAGGCUACGGCUCAACCGUAGUAAGCCUUUGAAACUGGGAAACUUGAGUGCAGGAGAGGAGAGUGGAAUUCCUAGUGUAGCGGUGAAAUGCGUAGAUAUUAGGAGGAACACCAGUUGCGAAGGCGGCUCUCUGGACUGUAACUGACACUGUGGCACGAAAGCGUGGGGAGCAAACAGGAUUAGAUACCCGCGUAGUCCCUGAG